rnacentral:rRNA from 1 species
AAUAGAUACCCUGGUAGUCCACGCCGUAAACGGUGGGCACUAGGUGUGGGCAACAUUCCACGUUGUCCGUGCCGCAGCUAACGCAUUAAGUGCCCCGCCUGGGGAGUACGGCCGCAAGGCUAAAACUCAAAGGAAUUGACGGGGGCCCGCACAAGCGGCGGAGCAUGCGGAUUAAUUCGAUGCAACGCGAAGAACCUUACCAAGGCUUGACAUACAGAGUAAUCCGGCAGAAACGUCGGGUCCGCAAGGGAUUCUGUACAGGUGGUGCAUGGUUGUCGUCAGCUCGUGUCGUGAGAUGUUGGGUUAAGUCCCGCAACGAGCGCAACCCUCGUUCUAUGUUGCCAGCACAUAAUGGUGGGGACUCAUAGGAGACUGCCGGGGUCAACUCGGAGGAAGGUGGGGAUGACGUCAAAUCAUCAUGCCCCUUAUGUCUUGGGCUUCACGCAUGCUACAAUGGCCAGUACAAAGGGCUGCGAGACCGCAAGGUGGAGCGAAUCCCAAAAAACUGGUCUCAGUUCGGAUUGGGGU